UCUCAUUACGAAAGGCGGAGGGAUCAGGCCCUGUGAAGCCUUGGCAACCGGCUAUAUAUGUCACUCGACGGCGAGCACAUGUAUAGACAAGGUGCCACAUCCUGCUUUGUGAUUGAUUUGUUCAAUCCAAAGAAAGAUGAG
rnacentral:ncRNA from 1 species